AGGUGGCUGUCUUCAUGGAGCUCUAAGGUUUUUGUUAAGCUGCUACUCUCGUUUCUAUAACUGUGGGAUUCUAAAAGAGCACAGAAGUACUUCACUGAGUCUUCCAGUUGCAAAGAGGAGAUGCCCAGAGACCAUCCCAGAGAAUGGCUGCUGGUGAUAGUGGGGAUGAAGAAAAUCAUCAGGAGCAGAACACAGAGAAACAAAACUCCCCAAUCAUCUCAUCUCCCAACUUUGCAGUGUUCCAAAGAGAUUUUCUAUCACAUUCAAACCUCACCCACAACUCAGUCUGGCUGAAGACAGAGGAUCAACAGUGAUGCCCCCAGGAGCUGGUCCAUCUCUCCUGUGAGGAGGCAGGUGACUUCUCUCCUGUCUCCAGAACAAUCAACUUGCCUUCACUUUCCUGCACUUCACUCACUUCCUUCCACACAGCCUUCUGUUUCGCCUCUGAACUGCCCUACUUUUAGCUGAAGUUAGGCAUCUUUAUGGGAGGAAACACUGCCCCCGUUAGUCUACAUGAAGAAAAUUUCUGAAAAUGUACUUCUGCAUUCCCCAACAACUUGCAAUAAUCCCUUGCCCAUAAAAGAGUUACAAUAAGAGAUUGUAGGAGAAGGAAAGGUUUUUAGUUGAUCACAUAACACAUUCUACUUUUUUACAAGUGUAAAACAAUAACAGAAUAUAGACAGAAUGUAUACGCUCAAAUGACUAACAGUGUCAACUGACAUCCUUAGGCAGGCACCUUAUUUAAAAGCAUAUAUAAGAGUUGGUGUUUUGGUGGAACAACUAAUGGUAUGACCUUUUGUUUAAAAUAAUGGUUUCAAGUUUAGAACACAGACAUUUUGGUAGUUCUGCCUUAAUGAAACUGCAUUUUAACAUGGUCUUCAGUAGUGUCUGUAUUUGUUCUGGUUAAACAAAUGGUGUAAGCUAAUCAUUCCUGAUAUAAAUUCUGGGCACCUCUCAGAAACACAAAUCAACACAACAAAAUUGAUCUUCAGUAUUAAAAUCACACCCUGAACUUGAUUAUAUCUCUUAGAUCUGGUGUGAGGUGAUUUACUAUGGUUUGUAUUCUCAGAUGAGAAAAAAAUUAUUAUAACCUUGUGAAGUCUAUAGACAUCAUGAGGAUAUAUAAUGAAAGGUACCAGGAGAUGCCCAAAAGGCAACAUAUUUGUUUGUCUUCACUCUUCAUUCAUGUCUAGUUUAUACCUCAACAGUUUAAUCCAAUGGUAGAGGCAGGAAGAAUCUACUAUGCUUCCAAUGUUAAGUCUGUAAGGCAACUAAGGAUUACAGCUAAAGAUAAAUCCCCACGUAUAAUUUUUUGAGGAUUAGUUUGAACAAAGACACAGAACACAUAAUAAAAUAAUUUCUGUUGCAUAUUAUAUAGGGCAAGAAAAGUUUGAAUUAUUAUUUGAAUAAUAAUGAAAAAUAUUCUGGGAAGUCUCAAUAUUGAACCCAUAAUUAACUGUCCAGUUCAGGGCAAUCUGAUAAGUUGAACAUGCUUCAUAUUAUAUAGUUUAAAUGUACAUAGUUCAGACUCUCUAGUGAAGGAAUUUGACUGAUUCAUUCAUGUAUUUAUUUAUAUAUUCAAUCAACAUUUAUUUAGUUCCCAUGAAGUCCCUGGAACUGGGCAACCGUGCUUGCUUUAGGGUUUAAACAUGAUUUUGGAGCAGUCGGUAGUCUUAAAUACCUGGUGGUCUCAAUAGAAAGACAAAUGUGGAAAUAGAUUUACAACAUGGCAUGAUAUAUAUGAGUUUUUAAUGAAGAAAACAUAAUGAUGAUCCCUGAGUUCUACUGAGGAAGGUAGGAGCAGGAGGUCAGGCCCAGGUCCGCCUCUCAAUGAGCUUCCUCAGCGGGAGACACUUUGAGUUCAGAGGGAUGCCUGUUGCGGUGGUUUCCAGAACAGCACAUGUUUGGGGGACAAACAUCAGGCAGACAUGACAGCACCUUCACUGUUUACACCCAAUUGUGUGCAUCCCUUUAGAAUACUUUUAAACAGUGCUCCCCUGUGGCCGGGCUGAGAAAGGUUGAGUAAAAUGUGGAUUUGGGCUUUCCUUGACUAAGCUUACAUCCAAGAUAUAUCAUUUUUUGCUAUAAUGAAAAGCCUGUCAAUAUACUCUAAUAAAAUAUGUGUCUCUACCAAUGUAUUUCUUAUAGUGAAAAUUACCUCAACAUUAAAAGAAAAAAACUAGGGAAAAUAUAUGUACAAUUGUACAUAAAUAUAACAUGAAAACAGAAUAUAUUUCAGUGCUACAACAUUUCAUUUAUUUCAUUAGUGAAAUAAUAUGAGUGUCACAUGACAUUUGCGUGUUCAGAUACCUUUCAGUGCUCACCAAUGUCUUCAAGGCAGAAGAUAAGCAUUUUACAAUGGCUUAUAGUUAUUUCCAGAAUGUAGUUUCUGAUCAUUGCUUUAGGUUUGUAUUUACUAUUACCCAUUUGGCGUUCUAUGCUACAGACAAUCUGAAUUACUUGUAUGUCAUUUCCCUACAUGAAACCUCCUGUGUAUACCUUGGCACAUUCUCUUUCUAUUUUUUUAACUUCAUUUCUGACUAGCUUUUAUAAAUCUUAAGUAAGAUAUCAUCCCUCUUAGGUAGCCUCCCAUGUAUUCAGCUUCCAAUUUAGAUGCCUCUGUUAGGAGGUCAUAUUUUACUUUUCUCCUGGGAUAGCUUUGAUCACACUAUUUGGUAAUAUAGCCCACAACACUACAUGCUCCUGAAGGGAGACACUCUGCCAACUUCUUACUGGUUACAUCUUCUGCAUUAAGACACACAUUGGGUGUCAAAUGAAUGAUGCAUUGGAGUCAUCUCAAGUAAAUAGAGGAUAUUUUUGGGAACUUCACAAACAUUGUCAAUCCUCAUUUGUAAAAUUUAAUCUACUUUGAUUCUACAUAAAAAUCUACUUUGCAGUGUUGUUUGGUUUUAAUGUGUGUGUGUGUAUAAUUUUAUCAAUCGGUAACCUUGCCUUUCAGUCCUGAAAUUCAUUAUGAUGUUUAUUGCCUUCAUGCGGUGUUUGUAGUUUUAAAGAUCACGUAUCUCCCAUCUUCUUUCAACCUGAUUAAUCCUACAAAACCUUCAGGUCCCAGCUUAGGCUUCAGACUUUGGGGUUUCCUGACUCACUGCCAAGUGAGGGGAUGGUCAUAUGCCUUCAUGUCACCCCUGCUUUCCUAGGCUUAGUCUUUUCUCAGUCUUCUCUGUCUGGUCAGUUACCUAUAUAAAUAACUACAUAUUUGCUCAUACUUCUUUUAUUUUCAGGCAUGUAACAUGUAUGUAGAAUGUUCCAGGCACUCGGUGAAUAAGUGUUUUCUGAUUGAGUAACUAAAACCUGAGGACAGUAUUCAGUGGAAAUUACUGGUCUUGCAUUAUGCAUGAAGUCUUGAGAGAUGUAGAGAAGUUGAUCACCUGUUCAAGAAGGCAGCACACUCAUGGCUCGGGCAGCUGUAGAAAGUAGCUCUUCACCAAUGCUGCUUCUCAAUAUAACAACAAGGAAAGAGCAGAUUGCUACCUGUGGGGAUGGGGGAAAUGGGGGUGAUGCAGUAUGAAGAGCUUGGACAACAAUAACAGGGAUGAGACUGCAUGUAGCUUUCCCUUUCCUGGCAUGAUCUUUUGUGUAGCCUUAGGAAUGUAGAGAAAGCAUCCACCUAUUCCCAUAUUUUAGGCUCCCUUCCUACAGGGCCAUGAUAUAGGGAAACUAUAAUGGCAAUCAGAGUAAACAUCCUCCAUUAUAACGAUACUAUAUAACUGGCUUUGAAUAAUU